rnacentral:rRNA from 1 species
UACGGGGGGGGCAAGCGUUGUUCGGAAUUACUGGGCGUAAAGGGCUCGUAGGCGGCCAACUAAGUCAGACGUGAAAUCCCUCGGCUUAACCGGGGAACUGCAUCUGAUACUGGAUGGCUUGAGUUCGGGAGAGGGAUGCGGAAUUCCAGGUGUAGCGGUGAAAUGCGUAGAUAUCUGGAGGAACAUCAGUGGCGAAGGCGGCUGCCUGGCCCAAUACUGACACUCAGGUGCGACAGCGUGGGGAGCAAACAGG